UUAAAAUCAAUAUUGUGUUCUUCCAUCACCCUCUGUGAUCACAUCUUUAAAAGCCCCUCCGCUAGGGAUCAUAGGCAGGACGUGUUCUUGAUGGGGGACAAUUACAUCUAGUAAGUAAGGUCCGGGAGUGUCCAACAUUUUCUGAAUUGCUGCUCUGAGAUUUUCCUUCCUUGUCACACGAGCAGCAGGUAUUCCACAUGCUUCAGCAAAUUUCAACAUAUUUGGGAAUAUUUCAGAUUCAUUAGAUGGGUCACCCAAGUACGUCUGUGCCCUGUUUGCCUUGUAAAAUCGAUCCUCCAAUUGAACAACCAUGCCCAAAUGCUGAUUAUUUAACAACAAUAUCUUAAUGGGAAGAUUUUCCACACGGACAGUCGCCAACUCUUGGACGUUCAUGAUGAAACUUCCAUCACCAUCAAUGUCAACAACAACAGCACCGGGAUUUGCAACAGCAGCUCCAACGGCAGCAGGCAAUCCAAAUCCCAUGGCCCCCAAUCCCCCUGAUGUCAACCAUUGACGAGGCUUCCGAUACUUGUAAAACUGAGCAGCCCACAUCUGAUGCUGACCAACACCAGUGCUUAUAAUCGCAUUCCCAUUGGUUAAUUCAUCAAGAACCUGAAUUGCAUAUUGAGGUGGAAUAGCUUCACCAAAGGUCUUGUAAUUCAAUGGGUAUUUCAGCUUCUGCUCGUUUAACUCCUGCCUCCAAGCUGAAUAAUCGAGUUUAAGCUCAGCUCCCUUACUCUCCAAUAUCCUGUUCACCCCCUUCAAUGCCAAUUUGACAUCUGAACACACCGACACAUGAGGCUGCUUAUUCUUCCCAAUCUCGGCUGAAUCAAUAUCAAUAUGAACAAUCUUGGCCCGGCUGGCAAAAGCCUCAAGUUUUCCUGUCACCCGAUCAUCAAACCUUACUCCAAAAGCAAGUAACAAAUCACUCUUAUCCACAGCAUAAUUAGCAUACACAGUUCCAUGCAUCCCAAGCAUUUGUAAUGACAACUCAUCCGGGGUCGGAAACGUUCCAAGACCCAUCAAAGUACUUGCAACAGGUAUCCCUGUAAGCUCAACAAACCUCUUCAACUCCUCACUGGAGUUCAAACACCCACCACCAACAUACAACACUGGCUUCUUAGAUUCGGAAACCAACCUCACAAUCUGCUCCAAAUGAGCCUCACCGGGAGGCUUAGGCAACCUAGAGAGAUACCCUGACAAUCUAAUAGGCUGGUCCCAUUUAGGAACAGCAAGCUGCUGUUGUAUAUCCUUAGGUACAUCAAUCAAAACAGGACCUGGCCUGCCCGAGGUAGCUAAAAAGAAAGCCUCACUAACAAUCCUAGGAAUAUCAUCCACAUCAAGAACAAGAUAGUUAUGCUUUGUAAUAGACCUUGUUACCUCAACAAUAGGAGUCUCUUGGAAAGCAUCCGUACCGAUCAUUCUACGAGGGACUUGACCCGUGAUCGCCACGAGAGGGAUACUAUCAAGCAUCGCAUCAGCAAGACCACUCACCAAGUUAGUUGCCCCAGGGCCAGACGUUGCAAUGCAAACACCGGGAGGCCAGAGGAGCGCGCGUACCCCUCCGCCGCAAAGAUCCCACCUUGUUCGUGUCGUGGAAGGACAUUUCGGAUUAUUUUGGACCGGGUUAAAGCCUGGUGGAUCUCCAUGGAAGCUCCACCUGGGUAGGCAAACACGUCCUUGACCCCUUCACGUUCCAGGGCUUCCACGAGGAUAUCAGCGCCUUUUUGGGGCUCAUCAGGGGCAUAACGGGAAAUAAAAUCAUGGGAAGGGGCUGUAGUUGGGGUGACAGUGGCGGCGGCGGAUCUGGUGUUGGAACUUGACUGAGAAAGAGAGCUGGAAAUGGUGAGGGAACGGGAAGUGGUGAGCUUUCGAGGGGCUGUAGAGAAGGGAAGGAUAGAUUUGGAAAUGGGUAUUGAAGAUUUGAAGGAGGAAGUUAAAGAAGAAGGCGUAGGCAAAAUGGUGUUUGCAGUGGCAGCCGCCAUUGUCGACGAGUGGCUUGUGGCGAGGCUUUUCGUUGGUGAAUGCGGCGAGAUAGAGAGAGGGAAGGAAAUUGUGAUUUAACUUUGAUUUUUACCCAUAUUACUCUUUUGCCCUUGUUGUUUUAUUUAAAACAAUUGGAAAAAAAAAAAAAGUCAAUAAAGAACUGGAAAAUUGCAAAUGCAAAACAACCGCACAAGGCAUGGAGUUUUGAUAUUCAGGAUCCAAUUUUGACUUAAUUUAAUCACAAUUAUAAAAUUUUAAUUAUUUUUAUUUAUAUUUUUAAAAGAAAAAUUAUUUGAUAUAUUUAUCAUAAGUAAAGUUAAGAUGAUGUUACAUAUAUCAUUUCUUUUUAAAAUAUACACUAAUAAAUAUGUGUUACAUAUUAAUUUUAUUUAUAAAAUUAAAAGAUUUUAUUGUAAAUAUAUUUGGUAAUUUAUUUUUUAAAAUUGAUGUCUUUUUAUCAAAAUUUUAAAAUUUAUUUAACAUUUAAUUUUAAGUUACAUUUCAAGGAAAUGUUAUUAUACAAGUUAAUUUAAUAUCAACAAUUAAAGGUAUUUAUAGACUAGGUCAGGUUAGCUUCGAGCCAACCUCAUAUUUGACAUUAAUAAUUUAUAUGUUUGUUUAUGUCUUAUUGAACCCAAAAUUUUUUAUCUCAAAAUUUUUUCAAAUCCAACCUAAAUUAAAAAAGUAAAUCCUAAAUUCACUUAUUGAAUUUAAUUUAUAUAAUAAUUUUUUUAAAUAUGAUUAAAUUAAGUGUAAUGGGAUAAUAUUUAAUUUACACAUAUAUAAAAAAUUUUAAAUUUUAUAUAAAAUAAAAUUUAAGUUUGAUAAAAUAUAUAUAAUUUUUAUUUUUAAUUUAUAUAUAUAUGUGAAUUAAUUUUUAUAUAAUUCACAUAUAUAUAUAAAUAAAUAAUUAUAUAUAUAUGUGAAUUUGAGUCAAAUUGAAUUUGAGUUUUAAAUUUUUUUAUCUAAAAUUCGAUCUAAAAUUUAAAUGACUUAAAAUUUGUGUCCAAAUUCAUUUAAUGGGUUUUGAUUUUUUAACCAAAUUUUCUCAAAUUUUGCAUAAAGCUUUUAAUUUUGACAAAUAGCUUUGUCCUGAAUAGGUAUAUUAACAAUCUUGUAGUUUUUCCAUUUAAGUUAAAAAAAAGCAUAAAUUAUUUUUUUUUUCAAAAAUUGGAAUAAUAAGUAUGUUUUUUCUCUUGUCAUAUGUGCAUUAAUGCAAGAAACAAUAAUGUAUGUGAUAAAAUAUGCAAUUUUACAUAUUAUUAAUAAAUCAUAUGAUAAUAAUUUAUUAAUAAAUAAAUAUACAUAAAAUAAAAUUAUUUAUUUAUUAAUAAAAUAUUAUCAUUAAAUUUAUCUUAUUAAUAAAUUAUUAUUAUUUGAUUCAUUAAUAAUAUAUAAAUUUUAUAUAUUAAUAAUAUAUCAAAUAUAAAUUCAUAUAUAUAUAUAUAUAUAUAUUGGUAUCGCCUCUAUAUUAUAAUGUAAUUUAUUUUAUAGAUUCUUAUAUAUAAUUCAUAGCUUUCUUUUUAUCAUAAAUCUUUAUGCAUGACUAAUAAAUAAUUGAUUCAAUCGAUUAAGGUCGUUCUUCUCGACUAAAAGAUUUUAAGUUCGAGUUCUGUCGAUGAUUAUUUAUUAGGGUCAUCUCGAAUGCAUGAUUUACAGUCACUUAUCUUAAACUGUUAGAUAUAAUAUAUCUUAUCUUGAUUUAAAAAAUUAAACAAUUUAUCUAUCUAAAUUAAAAUAAUAAUAAUAAUAAUAAUCUUAGCCCUCCACUAGCCGCAACUAAUAAAGAGCAUUAAAAAAAUAAACUCGUUCAUCCGCACGUAUGUUUAAUUUGCUUUCCCUCGAUCACGCAUCUUGGCCCUCCCCCUAAUUACAACUAAAAAACAGCAUUAAAAAGAAACUCAUUCUUAAUUUAUGCCAAUUUAGUCUAAACCAUUAGCUUUAAUUCCUAUAUAAAGGAUCUCCAGCUACACUUGGCUACAGACAGCCAUUUUACUACUAGAAAUGGAGUGCAAGAAGCUUGUUUUUCUCUUUGUUGCGAUGGUAUUGGCGGUGGUACUUGUAGCCACGGUAACUCCAACUUGAUUCGCCGCUCGUAAUGAGAAACCCUUUCGCCAGCAUUUUCAUGGUCGGUAAAAGUGGUGGAGACUGCCGCAUUGCCGGUGGCUUUGGCAUGUUUACACCCAUGGAUUGUUGUGGCAGUUGCUGAUGUCUUUAUCCUGCUGAGGUUUGCUUCGGGACAGGCUGCUAAAGGGUUCGCAGUUCCAAAGAAAAAUAAAUAAUAUCAACAUAUUCUAGUCCAAUAAUGAUUUUUUUGUGACAAUGAUUUAACUGUUGCAAAAAGGUUGUUGCUAAUGUUGCCUUUGUGAUUAUGACAGUUGGUAUUUAGUAUAUUUAUUAUCGCUGCCUUGUGAUUUUAAAUUAUUAUAAAUAAAAGAAUAAUUCGUUAGUUUUAAGUUAAAUGUCACCGCUAUCACUUUACUAAUUUGGUACUCUUUACGUUUAUUUAAUUGGCUAUAUAGUUGGGUCAAGAUUCCUUUAGUUAAUCUAUUCUUUUCCAUUGGCAUUUGAAUGUAAAAUAGAAUUUCUUGUUUCGAUUAUAGAAUAAAAAUAAAAGUGAAUGCUUUCAAGGGAAUUUUCAUUAUUUUAAAUUUAAAUCAUAAAAUGACAAAAUAAAAUGACCUAUUAUCGUAACGUGUUCAAAAAAUUUUUUAUUAAUUUGAAUUAAAUUAUUAACAAAAAUAAAAUAAAAUAUAUCAUUGAACAUUUAAUUAUGAUCGUAUUUUUAAAAUAUUCGUUAUCCAAAAUAAACAGAUGUUUAAGAGUAUGAUUUUGUCACGGAUCGAGAAUUUAAGCUUAAUUACCAGGCAACUUUAGACAGAAAACUACCAUUCGUAGACCUAAUUAAGCCUUUAACCAGAUCGAGUGAGUGUGCCACUCCCCAAGGGCUAGUCGGGUCUUAGUGAAGUUUCAAUUCUUCCUGAUGCUUCGCCCUCAUCAUCUUGAGCAAAUCUCGUCAUGUGACCAUCUCAGACUCGUGUGCGGUCCAUGAUAAUUCAGCAUCGGUAACUUGAGCAAUCCGUGAUGAGAUUUGCUACAUUGCCUCCAAAUUAUGAAAGCAUUCAUUAUGCUAUCCUUGGAAAGAAUUUAAGAAAAACAACCAUUGAAGUUUAGAUUCAUCUAUUAACAGUACAUUAUUGACUAAAAGACAUACAAGAUUUGCAUAGGACCAAACAAAAAGCCUGCUUGAUAGAUUUUAAAAGACAGAAAAACUAACUAUAGGGGCAGAAGCAAGUUUCCUCCAUGUCACUGCCACAACUCAAAGCUAAGCCUCCAUAACUGAUCAUACAUACAUUACCAAAAACACAUAUUGAUGGAUGCUCAUUAAAAUCAAUAUUGUGUUCUUCCAUCACCCUCUGUGAUCACAUCUUUAAAAGCCCCUCCGCUAGGGAUCAUAGGCAGGACGUGUUCUUGAUGGGGGACAAUUACAUCUAGUAAGUAAGGUCCGGGAGUGUCCAACAUUUUCUGAAUUGCUGCUCUGAGAUUUCCUUCCUUGUCACACGAGCAGCAGGUAUUCCACAUGCUUCAGCAAAUUUCAACAUAUUUGGGAAUAUUUCAGAUUCAUUAGAUGGGUCACCCAAAUACGUAUGUGCCCUGUUUGCCUUGUAAAAUCGAUCCUCCCAUUGAACAACCA
rnacentral:lncRNA from 1 species